GUAGGUGAACCUGCGGAAGGAUCAUUACAAAAGAAAGUAAAAAGUAGAUUCGGCUUCCUUCCCAUGAAGAGGUUGCUCGAGAGAGGCUAUUACGCAAGAUUUUUUCGGAUGUCGUUCUUAACGGGUUGGCCCCCCCGAGGGGUUGUUACCGACAUUCUUCUGGAAUCGCGAAAUAGGCCGGGAGUGUGGCAUUAGUAUCCUGCCCUUACACGCACUCUUCUCUGGUCUCUCGCCCAUUCUUCUUUGCUGG
rnacentral:misc_RNA from 1 species